GAACUGAAGAGUUUGAUCCUGGCUCAGAUUGAACGCUGGCGGCAUGCCUUACACAUGCAAGUCGAACGGCAGCAC
rfam:Paraburkholderia susongensis strain LMG 29540 genome assembly, contig: Ga0139082_103